rnacentral:rRNA from 1 species
GUAGGGGUAAAAUCCGUAGAUAUCACUAGGAAUACCUAACGCGAAGGCGAUCUCCUGGAACAAUACUGACGCUAAGGCGUGAAAGCGUGGGGAGCAAACGGGAUUAGAUACCCCGGUAGUCCACGCCCUAAACGAUGUUCACUAGUCGUCGGGAUGCUUGUCAUCUCGGUGAUGCACUUAACAGAUUAAGUGAACCGCCUGGGGAGUACGGUCUCAAGAUUAAAACUCAAAGGAAUAGACGGGGACCCGCACAAGUGGUGGAGCAUGUGGCUUAAUUCGAAGAUACGCGAAGAACCUUACCCAGCCUUGACAUUGAAGAAAUACUUUAGAGAUAGAGUAGUGCCCUUCUUGGAAUCUGAAAACAGGUGCUGCCCGGCUGUCGUCAGCUCGUGUCGAGAGAUGUUGGGUUAAGUCCCGCAACGAGCGCAACCCUCGUCUUUAGUUGCCAGCAGGUUAAGCUGGGCACUCUAAAGAGACUGCCUUCGCAAGGAGGAGGAAGGUGAGGACUACGUCAAGUCAUCAUGGCCCUUAUGGCUAGGGC